rnacentral:rRNA from 1 species
AGUGAACGCUGGCGGUAGGCCUAACACAUGCAAGUCGAACGGCAGCACAGUAAGAGCUUGCUCUUACGGGUGGCGAGUGGCGGACGGGUGAGGAAUACAUCGGAAUCUACUUUUUCGUGGGGGAUAACGUAGGGAAACUUACGCUAAUACCGCAUACGACCUACGGGUGAAAGCAGGGGAUCUUCGGACCUUGCGCGAUUGAAUGAGCCGAUGUCGGAUUAGCUAGUUGGCGGGGUAAAGGCCCACCAAGGCGACGAUCCGUAGCUGGUCUGAGAGGAUGAUCAGCCACACUGGAACUGAGACACGGUCCAGACUCCUACGGGAGGCAGCAGUGGGGAAUAUUGGACAAUGGGCGCAAGCCUGAUCCAGCAAUACCGCGUGGGUGAAGAAGGCCUUCGGGCUGUAAAGCCCUUUUGUUGGGAAAGAAAAGCAGCAGGUUAAUACCCCGCUGUUCUGACGGUACCCAAAGAAUAAGCACCGGCUAACUUCGUG